GUAUGGGUGUAUAUGCUCCCCUGGGUAUGCUCACUCCUACAAGCUGUGCUCAUGCUUCUCUGCCUGAGUGCCAUGAUUUCCACGUGUCCACAGCAGGGUAAAGUGGAGCAGCUGUGGCAUGCAAAUGCUGCCUUGCAGAGACACGGGAGCAGAAUGCUGCAAAGGUCCUCACAGAUACCCUCCCUGACCCCAGAGGCGGACAUCUUCAAGAGCACAUCUGCAAACCUUUCACAGAUGCAUUAGAGUGGGAUCCAAGCAGCAGUAGAAUGGUAGUGGAGGUUUGGUUUGGGGGCUCUCCUAGGCUCCUUCUUGCUAUAGCGCCCAUAUAUGUCCCUGGAUGGGUUGCAUGAUUUUACAUAGCUUCACAUGGGCAUGCAACGGAUGGAGAGGACAUGAUCUCUGCCUGCAAGGAAAUGUAUAACCAAGGAGAAAUUCGGUAACCAGUAUGAAGACUGCUCUUGAUAUCCAUCCCCUUCUUCCUGGCUCACGAGACAGCCACAGUAUUUAUUUAUUUUUUCCCCACGGCCAUGGUUGAUAGAACCCAGAAGGUUCAUGGGAUCUAUUUUGAAUUUCCCUUCGUGCCCUAUUCCAUCCUGAAAGACUUCCUGGCUAAACUGCUAUUCCAGGCCUUGGAGGUGGCCAAAUGGAGAUAUUUGAGAGUCCACUUGGCACAGUGAGUGUGAAUAGUGAGAAACCGUGAUUACAGUAACUGAGAGGCAAUCUUGCUCCCUGUGACUGGUUGCCUUUGUAGAGAUUUUCAUAUUAGAAGUUAGACAAAGUAGCCUGUCAGUUUAUCUUUCUUUGUAGUAGUCACUUUGUCUAUGAAAGUGUUAAACACAGCUGGCGGGUGUGAGGUCAGUUAGGCUCAAGGCAAAUGAGGAUGUGAAUAGCUGUGGAAGCCAUAACCCACAGCACUGAAUCCUUCCAGAUUUCUCUGGCACACAAGUGCUUUGAUGUUGAGAAACACAGAAAUAACUGGCUUCUUCACAGAUUCAACAUUCUGUCUUAGUCUCCAGGAAGUAGUUGACUGACUGAGCACUGGAGGAAUCUGAUCAAGGGCCCCUGAGUCUUUCCUCCCUGGCUGGGAGUGAGGGAGGCAUUUAUUCCAGGUUGGCCAUGGAGGAGAGGGGGAGGGCUGUGGCAAUGGCCCCCAGUAUCUCUCUCUGUUUCUUACCUUUUAUAGCAAGUACUGUGUGCUGGUGAAAUGAGUAUGUUUCUGUGCGGAGACUCCUAGAAGGGAAGGACCUGUACAUCUACAUCAAAGAGGUCAUGAAGGAAGAGGACAGCUUUAGCCCAAGCUCCAGGGGUCCCACCUCCAACCCCAGCCAGCAGCCCACCCUCUGCAGGGCAGGGGAGGGGCACAGACACUGUGGAGAAGGACUUUCAAAGACAUGAGUCCAAUGUCCGCUUCAUUCUGGA